GACGAAGGAUGCAAGCGUUAUCCGGAUUCAUUGGGUUUAAAGGGAGCGUAGGUGGCCUUAUAAGUCAGUUGUGAAAUCUCGCAGCUUAACUGCGAAAUUGCCAUUGAUACUGUAGGGCUUGAGUACAGUUGCCGUUGGCGGAAUAUGACAUGUAGUGGUGAAAUACAUAGAGAUGUCAUAGAACACCGAUUGCGAAGGCAGCUAACGAAACUGUAACUGACACUGAGGCUCGAAAGUGCGGGGAUCAAACAGG
rnacentral:rRNA from 1 species